GCACGGAGAUUGAAGGGCAGGGGCUCAUGUGACAGUGUGAAGCAGGAAUUCUGACCGUUGGCCAAACCAAGCCCUGAAACUCAAGUUCUGUUUGGGAGUGAGAGGCAGAAAGCCUUGGAGGCAGCUUCAAUUAGAAGCUAAUUUUACUAAUUAGAAAAUUGGUAUCAGAAGGACGAUUGAACGUGUCCAAGGUCACACAGCCAGUAAGGAGAGGGGCCUGGACUGGAGCAGACCUGUCUGAUUCACUCAGACAGGACUGGAGCAGACCCUUGCUUUGUUCACUCAAUAGUUUUUUCCAAAGGCUUUUUAAGAAGAGGACUUUGGAGUUGUAAAGAAUUUAGAUACGUGGAAAUGAGAGAAAGGCCUUCCAGGCAGAGGAAACAGGAUGAACAAAGUCUUGGCAGGUAUGGACAACUCUGUGUGUGUGUGUGUGUGUGUGUGUGUGUGUGUGUA
rnacentral:lncRNA from 10 species